UACUCUCUGUCGACCCUUUGGAUUGC
rnacentral:piRNA from 1 species